GUUGUAUGAUCGAGAGGGGGUGUCCAGGGUCACAACUUUGAAGACCACAGGGACCGCCAUUCAGAGAGCCACGUAAAGUGGUGUGGGUGGCCUCCUCGCGACCGGAGAAAUUUAUAGCAGAGGCCUCCGAGCCCCUAAACCCAUCGCUGAGCGUUCUUCAGAGCCCUGCCUUUCUCGGGCUUUAUCACGGCCUGUUUGUCUUACUUAAACUGAACACCCAGAUGCCGGGCGUGAGACUAGCAAUGUGGGGUUUCUAUGUUAUGUAGCCAAACUGGGUUUUAAACUAGAUUGAAAAUCUUUUCUGAAAGGUAAAACGGGUAUGGUCCCUCUCAGACCAACCUUUCAUGAUAUUCCCGUGGCCCCAAUAGUCCAGGGGCUGGUCUUGAUGUUCUGUGAAAGGUAUACACCCGCCUCUGACCCAGUGGUCUCCAUCUUCCAGGGCUGUGUGCUCACAGAUUCCUCUUAAGAGUUCACUUCUUCCCAACAGCUUCGCUCCAGGUCCAUGAGGCCCAGGACUUGCUGGCAAAUUGACCUUGUCCAUACCAGGGCUUCUGUGUCACCAAUGCCUGCUUUCUGGUCCUACCUAUGGUAGUUCCUGCUCUUUUGUUUCUCAGAUCUUUACCCUUCGUGGUCCCCUAUUCUCACCAAGAAACCACAGUCAGCUGGCUUUUCCUAUUGCUUCUUCAGCUUUCCUGUGGUCUGAUUUUGAAUUCCACUUUAGAAAAAUGCUUCCGUGGGCCCUGCAGGAUGCCUCAGCCUACAAAGCUGCUAUCAAGCCAGAGGAUCUGAGUUCAGUCCUUAAAGGCUGGGUGAAGACGGAAGGAAAGAGUAGACUAAGUUGUCUCAGACCCCUGCAUGAGUACCACAUAUCACACAACAAUAAAAUACUACCCUCUUUCUUAUGAA
rnacentral:lncRNA from 1 species